UUGUGCCACAACCCAAAUUUUACCUUGAC
rnacentral:piRNA from 1 species